rnacentral:rRNA from 1 species
GCUGGGGGAUUAGUGGCGAACGGGUGAGUAACACGUGAGUAACCUGCCCUUGACUCUGGGAUAAGCCUGGGAAACUGGGUCUAAUACCGGAUACGACCAUCUGGCGCAUGUCAUGGUGGUGGAAAGCUUUUGUGGUUUUGGAUGGACUCGCGGCCUAUCAGCUUGUUGGUGGGGUAAUGGCCUACCAAGGCGACGACGGGUAGCCGGCCUGAGAGGGUGACCGGCCACACUGGGACUGAGACACGGCCCAGACUCCUACGGGAGGCAGCAGUGGGGAAUAUUGCACAAUGGGCGCAAGCCUGAUGCAGCGACGCCGCGUGAGGGAUGACGGCCUUCGGGUUGUAAACCUCUUUCAGUAGGGAAGAAGCGAAAGUGACGGUACCUGCAGAAGAAGCGCCGGCUAACUACGUGCCAGCAGCCGCGGUAAUACGUAGGGCGCAAGCGUUAUCCGGAAUUAUUGGGCGUAAAGAGCUCGUAGGCGGUUUGUCGCGUCUGCUGUGAAAGACCGGGGCUCAACUCCGGUUCUGCAGUGGGUACGGGCAGACUAGAGUGCAGUAGGGGAGACUGGAAUUCCUGGUGUAGCGGUGAAAUGCGCAGAUAUCAGGAGGAACACCGAUGGCGAAGGCAGGUCUCUGGGCUGUAACUGACGCUGAGGAGCGAAAGCAUGGGGAGCGAACA